UGUGAAACCCUAACCUUGUACUCC
rnacentral:siRNA from 1 species